UAGGGAAUCUUCGGCAAUGGACGAAAGUCUGACCGAGCAACGCCGCGUGAGUGAAGAAGGUUUUCGGAUCGUAAAACUCUGUUGUUAGAGAAGAACAAGGACGUUAGUAACUGAACGUCCCCUGACGGUAUCUAACCAGAAAGCCACGGCUAACUACGUGCCAGCAGCCGCGGUAAUACGUAGGAGGCAAGCGUUGUCCGGAUUUAUUGGGCGUAAAGCGAGCGCAGGCGGUUUCUUAAGUCUGAUGUGAAAGCCCCCGGCUCAACCGGGGAGGGUCAUUGGAAACUGGGAGACUUGAGUGCAGAAGAGGAGAGUGGAAUUCCAUGUGUAGCGGUGAAAUGCGUAGAUAUAUGGAGGAACACCAGUGGCGAAGGCGGCUCUCUGGUCUGUAACUGACGCUGAGGCUCGAAAGCGUGGGGAGCAAACAGG
rnacentral:rRNA from 2 species